rnacentral:rRNA from 1 species
ACGAAAGGUGCAAGCGUUAAUCGGAAUUACUGGGCGUAAAGCGCGCGUAGGCGGUGUGUUAAGUCGGAUGUGAAAGCCCAGGGCUCAACCUUGGAAUUGCAUCCGAUACUGGCACGCUAGAGUGCAGUAGAGGGAGGUGGAAUUUCCGGUGUAGCGGUGAAAUGCGUAGAGAUCGGAAGGAACACCAGUGGCGAAGGCGGCCUCCUGGACUGACACUGACGCUGAGGUGCGAAAGCGUGGGGAGCAAACAGG